rnacentral:misc_RNA from 1 species
CCCACUUGAUGGGAAUACUUUGAAACCAAGAACCUUCAAUCCCUCCGCUAAAAUUGCCUUCUUUUCCAUGUAGUCCCUUUUUAGCUCCACAUAGUAAGAAUCUGGGGCUCUAAGGGCCACUGCAGCUGCCCACUGCAUUGAAGUGGAGGUAGUAAAAGUUAGGGAAGAGUGUACCUGCUGCAGUCCUCAUGUCAGGUGUGGAGGAGCAAUUGCCCA